UUGGCUCAGGACCGAACGCUGGCGGCGUGCCUAAUACAUGCAAGUAGAACGCUGAAGCUUGGUGCUUGCACCGAGCGGAUGAGUUGCGAACGGGUGAGUAACGCGUAGGUAACCUGCCUCUUAGCGGGGGAUAACUAUUGGAAACGAUAGCUAAUACCGCAUAAAAGUCGAUAUCGCAUGAAGUUGACUUGAAAGGUGCAAUUGCAUCACUAAGAGAUGGACCUGCGUUGUAUUAGCUAGUUGGUGAGGUAACGGCUCACCAAGGCGACGAUACAUAGCCGACCUGAGAGGGGGAUCGGCCACACUGGGACUAGACACGGCCC
rnacentral:rRNA from 1 species